rnacentral:rRNA from 1 species
GAUGAACGCUGGCGGCGUGCCUAAUACAUGCAAGUCGAGCGAACAGACGAGGAGCUUGCUCCUCUGACGUUAGCGGCGGACGGGUGAGUAACACGUGGAUAACCUACCUAUAAGACUGGGAUAACUUCGGGAAACCGGAGCUAAUACCGGAUAAUAUAUUGAACCGCAUGGUUCAAUAGUGAAAGACGGUUUUGCUGUCACUUAUAGAUGGAUCCGCGCCGCAUUAGCUAGUUGGUAAGGUAACGGCUUACCAAGGCAACGAUGCGUGCCGACCUGAGAGGGUGAUCGGCCACACUGGAACUGGGACACGGUCCAGACUCCUACGGGAGGCAGCAGUAGGGAAUCUUCCGCAAUGGGCGAAAGCCUGACGGAGCAACGCCGCGUGAGUGAUGAAGGUCUUCGGAUCGUAAAACUCUGUUAUUAGGGAAGAACAAAUGUGUAAGUAACUAUGCACGUCUUGACGGUACCUAAUCAGAAAGCCACGGCUAACUACGUG